UCCAGACUCCUACGGGAGGCAGCAGUGGGGAAUAUUGCACAAUGGGCGAAAGCCUGAUGCAGCUAUACCGCGUGUAUGAAGAAGGCCUUAGGGUUGUAAAGUACUUUCGUUGGGGAGGAAAAAUAAAUAGAUAAUACCUGUUUAUCGUGACGUUACCCAAAAAAGAAGCACCGGCUAACUCCGUGCCAGCAGCCGCGGUAAUACGGAGGGUGCAAGCGUUAAUCAGAAUUACUGGGCGUAAAGAGCUCGUAGGCGGUUUUUUAAGUCAGAUGUGAAAUCCCUGGGCUUAACCUAGGAACUGCAUUUGAAACUAAAAGACUAGAGUAUCGUAGAGGGAGGUAGAAUUCUAGGUGUAGCGGUGAAAUGCGUAGAUAUCUGGAGGAAUACCUGUGGCGAAAGCGGCCUCCUAAAUGAAUACUGACGCUGAGGUGCGAAAGCAUGGGGAGCAAACAGGAUUAGAUACCCUGGUAGUCCAUGCCGUAAACGAUGUCGACUUGGAGGUUGUUUCCUUGAGAAGUGACUUCCGAAGCUAACGCGUUAAGUCGACCGCCUGGGGAGUACGGUCGCAAGGCUAAAACUCAAAUGAAUUGACGGGGGCCCGCACAAGCGGUGGAGCAUGUGGUUUAAUUCGAUGCAACGCGAAAAACCUUACCUGGUCUUGACAUCCACAGAAUUUUUCAGAGAUGAAAAAGUGCCUUAGGGAACUGUGAGACAGGUGCUGCAUGGCUGUCGUCAGCUCGUGUUGUGAAAUGUUGGGUUAAGUCCCGCAACGAGCGCAACCCUUAUCCUCUGUUGCCAUUGGUUCGGCCAGGAACUCAGAGGAGACUGCCGGUUAUAAACCGGAGGAAGGCGGGGACGACGUCAAGUCAUCAUGGCCCUUACGACCAGGGCUACACACGUGCUACAAUGGUGUAUACAAAGAGAAGCAACUCUGUAAAGACAAGCAAACCUCAUAAAGUACAUCGUAGUCCGGACUGGAGUCUGCAACUCGAUCCCAGGGG
rnacentral:rRNA from 2 species